rnacentral:rRNA from 1 species
GACGUAGGGUGCAAGCGUUGUCCGGAUUUACUGGGCGUAAAGAGCGCGUAGGCGGCUCGUUAAGUGAGAAGUGAAAGCUCUGGGCUCAACCCAGAAACCGCUUUUCAUACUGGCAAGCUGGAGUGAUGCAGAGGUGGAUAGAAUUCCCGGUGUAGCGGUGAAAUGCGUUGAUAUCGGGAGGAAUACCCGUGGCGAAGGCGGUCCACUGGGCAUCAACUGACGCUGAGGCGCGAAAGCUAGGGGAGCAAACAGG